UACGUAGGGUGCGAGCGUUAAUCGGAAUUACUGGGCGUAAAGCGCGCGCAGGUGGUUCCUUAAGUCUGAUGUGAAAGCCCACGGCUCAACCGUGGAGGGUCAUUGGAAACUGGGGAACUUGAGUGCAGAAGAGGAAAGUGGAAUUCCAAGUGUAGCGGUGAAAUGCGUAGAGAUUUGGAGGAACACCAGUGGCGAAGGCGACUUUCUGGUCUGUAACUGACACUGAGGCGCGAAAGCGUGGGGAGCAAACAGG
rnacentral:rRNA from 1 species